UACGAAGGUCCCAAGCGUUAUCCGGAUUUAUUGGGUUUAAAGGGUGCGUAGGCGGACUGUUAAGUCCGUGGUGAAAGCUCCAUGCCUAACAUGGAAAUUGCCAUUGAUACUGACGGUCUUGAGUACAUUUGAAGUGGGCGGAAUGUGUCAUGUAGCGGUGAAAUGCUUAGAUAUGACACAGAACACCGAUUGCGUAGGCAGCUCACUAAACUGUAACUGACGCUGAGGCACGAAAGCGUGGGGAGCAAACAGG
rnacentral:rRNA from 1 species